rnacentral:pre_miRNA from 1 species
ACAUGCAUGGAAGCACCUGGAGAUCUUGUCAAAACGUAGAUCUUGAUAUUUUAAUUAGGUGAAUGGGAGGGUGGGGGCACUAAGAUUUUACAUUUCUAACAAGCUCCCAAUUUAUGCCCAU